UACGGAGGGUGCAAGCGUUAUCCGGAUUCACUGGGUUUAAAGGGUGUGUAGGCGGGUCUAUAAGUCAGUGGUGAAAUCUCCGGGCUCAACCCGGAAACUGCCAUUGAUACUAUAGGUCUUGAAUAUUGUGGAGGUGGGCGGAAUGUGUCAUGUAGCGGUGAAAUGCUUAGAGAUGACACAGAACACCGAUUGCGAAGGCAGCUCACUACGGGAUCAUUGACACUGAGGCACGAAAGCGUGGGGAUCAAACAGG
rnacentral:rRNA from 1 species